GGGGCUCGGAUGCCUUGGCUGCCAUCCUGGGACGAUCACAUGCAAGACAGAGCAAGCCUCAAAGCUACAACUCGCUCAACUAAAAAUAAAUAAGAGAAAACGCAAUUAGAAACUCUAGGAUAAAGUUACCAAGAUGGCUGCAUUAUCUGUGUGAGCCAGAGGGAUGUGCUUUGCCGACCCAGCCGCUCUGGAGAGAUGGAAACUUGCCCGACCCAGACACUCCAAGGGAAACAACGGCAGCGGAAAGAUGUUGGCUCCUCUCAGAGGCUGCACCCAGGGCAGCGGGGCGGCUGCGUGGGCACCCCUGGGGACCACAUAGGGUGACCUCAGCAGGGAUCCGGAACGCCGUGAAGCUGGGGGGCAACCGAGUCCCCCCCAUUCAACAUAUCCAUUCCCCCCGACUAAAGGAAGCCCUAUAAGCAACCAGAUGGAAUGCUGAGAGCAAAAGGAGCAAAGAGGGAGGGGUUGUGAUGUACGGGGCUGGUGGGCACCGCCAAGCGAAAUCACGUCCGCGGAGCACUUACUUUCGGGGUAAAAAGGCUGCAUGUCUAUUUUGUAAACUUCUUUGGCGUAGUA